rnacentral:rRNA from 1 species
GGCUCUUUGAAAUCAAUAUAUAAAGAGUCGAGCCUGCCCAGUGAUAAAAUUUAAACGGCCGCGGUACUCUGACCGUGCGAAGGUAGCAUAAUCAUUUGCCCUAUAAUUGAGGGCUUGUAUGAAUGGUUUAACAAGAGCAUAACUGUCUCCUUAAAAUUUUAUAGAAUUUGGUUUUUAGGUGAAGAAACCUAAAUAUUAUUGAAAGACAAGAAGACCCUAUCGAGCUUUAGAACAAUUAACUAAUAAAUAUAAUUAAAAUAAUUAAUUUUAAUUAAAAACUUUGGUUGGGGCGACUGAGGAACAUAUAAAGCUUCCUUAAUUAAAACACGCUAAUAAGCAGUGAUCCAAAAAAAUUUGAUUAAGAAAAUUAGUUACCGUAGGGAUAACAGCAUAAUCUUUUUUGAGAGCUCUCAUCGAAAAAAAGGCUUGUGACCUCGAUGUUGGACUAGGAUAUCCUAAAAGAUGCAGAAGUCUUUAAGGGCUGGUCUGUUCGACCAUUAAAAUCCU